rnacentral:rRNA from 1 species
AUUGAACGCUGGCGGCAUGCUUUACACAUGCAAGUCGAACGGUAACAGGCCGCAAGGUGCUGACGAGUGGCGAAUGGGUGAGUAAUGCAUCGGAACGUGCCCAGUCGUGGGGGAUAACUACUCGAAAGAGUAGCUAAUACCGCAUACAAUCUAUGGAUGAAAGCGGGGGACCGUAAGGCCUCGCGCGAUUGGAGCGGCCGAUGUCAGAUUAGGUAGUUGGUGGGGUAAAGGCUCACCAAGCCAACGAUCUGUAGCUGGUCUGGGAGGACGACCAGCCACACUGGGACUGAGACACGGCCCAGACUCCUACGGGAGGCAGCAGUGGGGAAUUUUGGACAAUGGGCGCAAGCCUGAUCCAGCAAUGCCGCGUGCAGGAAGAAGGCCUUCGGGUUGUAAACUGCUUUUGUACGGAACGAAACGGCUCUGGUUAAUACCCGGGGCUAAUGACGGUACCGUAAGAAUAAGCACCGGCUAACUACGUG